UAAUUGGCUUUGUUUGAACUCAUUCCAGAGCUAUUGUUAACAUUGUCUACUAUUCCAUUGUGAUACAGUUUUGUUUAUCUCAAUUUUCUUGAUGCUUUAUUGCCACUUCCAUUUGCUUUUAAUUGUUUCAAUUUCAACAUUUUUUUAUUUCCCAUGUAUGGCCACAAAAACGAUGUUUAUCUUGUGUUAAAAACUGGCAAUACACUUUUAAAAGGGAAACGUUGUCAUAUUUAGUCAAAGAAAAC
rnacentral:lncRNA from 1 species